ACGGGAGGCAGCAGUGGGGAAUAUUGUGCAAUGGGAGAAAGCCUGACCCAGCAACGCCGCGUGAAGGAAGACGGUCUUCGGAUUGUAAACUUCUUUUAUCAGGGACGAAGGAAGUGACGGUACCUGAUGAAUAAGCCACGGCUAACUACGUGCCGGCAGCCGCGGUAAUACGUAGGUGGCAAGCGUUAUCCGGAUUUACUGGGUGUAAAGGGCGCGUAGGCGGGGAUGCAAGUCAGAUGUGAAAUCUAUGAGCUUAACUGAGAAACUGCAUUUGAAACUGUAUCUCUUGAGUGUCGGAGAGGUAGAUGGAAUUCCUAGUGUAGCGGUGAAAUGCGUAGAUAUUAGGAGGAACACCAGUGGCGAAGGCUAUCUACUGGAUGAUAACUGACGCUGAGGCGCGAAAGCGUGGGGAGCAAACAGGAUUAGAUACCCUGGUA
rnacentral:rRNA from 1 species